UACAGAGGGGGCGAGCGUUGUUCGGAAUUACUGGGCGUAAAGGGCUCGUAGGCGGCCAACUAAGUCAGACGUGAAAUCCCUCGGCUUAACCGGGGAACUGCGUCUGAUACUGGAUGGCUUGAAUCCGGGAGAGGGAUGCGGAAUUCCAGGUGUAGCGGUGAAAUGCGUAGAUAUCUGGAGGAACACCGGUGGCGAAGGCGGCAUCCUGGACCGGCAUUGACGCUGAGGAGCGAAAGCCAGGGGAGCAAACGGG
rnacentral:rRNA from 1 species